rnacentral:lncRNA from 1 species
AUGAAGCUUGGCGCACGCACGGGCACCCACGGCACCUCCUCCGUCCUCAGCGGGCCCUGCUGCCGCCCCGAGCUCAUCAUCACUGGCUCCCUUGGGACAAGGCCAGCCAGCUCCCAUCUGCAGCACGGGGCUCCCCCCGCCUCCGGCGGCCGCGACCCUGGUUUCCCAACUCUCUCUGGUCACCAGGCCUCCGUGUCCCCAGCCGAGAGCAUCCUUUCCUUCCGCUGCCACCGCGCUGAGUCAGGAGCCUCGUGGGCAGAGGGGAAGUUGUCCUGACAGUCUGCACCCGUCUGAGUUCCCCCGGGGCAGGUGACUCUUGCUCUUGCUAGGUUUCCCCUCCUGUCAUCCAGGGACACCGCGGUGGCUUCAUCCUUGACGUGGGGGGUCUCAGGAGGUCAAGCGCCUAGAGGGGCAGGGGUCCUUCCUCUCCUCAGCCUCCGCUGGGUUCAGCCUUUUUCUGUGGCUUUGCCAUGUGCUUCGAUCUCAAUUUGGGGCAUGUGACCACAUUCAAAGCUCACUUGCUUUUCCAGGUGAGUGGCCCAUGUGGCAGGUAGGACAGUCACAUAGAAAUUAUGGCGGGAACUGCACUUAUGUCAGCGAGCCCGUAGCCUUAGGUGGCCCGUCGGGGCCCAGGUCUUCACCGGGCAACAUUCCUAUGGAGCAACUGUCUGCUUGUGCACUUGUGCACUUUUUCUUUCAUUUUUUAAAAUUAAAAAAAAAAUUUUUUUUUAAUUUGUUUUAAUUUUUUUAUUUAUUUAUGAUAGGCACACAGUGAGAGAGAGAGGCAGAGACACAGGCAGAGGGAGAAGCAGGCUCCAUGCACCGGGAGCCCGACGUGGGAUUCGAUCCCGGGUCUCCGGGAUCGCGCCCUGGGCCAAAGGCAGGUGCCAAACCGCUGCGCCACCUUGGGAUCCCUUCUUUCAUUUUUUUAACCUUUUAUUUGUAUAUUUUGAGUUAUGUCUUUUUUUCCCUUUUUAUUAACAUUUGUUGAUGUUUUUUAUUUGUGCGUCUUCAUUCC